rnacentral:rRNA from 1 species
CGCGUAGGCGGCUUGACAAGUCACUUGUGAAAUCUCCGGGCUUAACUCGGAACGGCCAAGUGAAACUGUCAUGCUAGAGUGCAGAAGGGGCAAUCGGAAUUCUUGGUGUAGCGGUGAAAUGCGUAGAUAUCAAGAGGAACACCUGAGGUGAAGACGGGUUGCUGGGCUGACACUGACGCUGAGGCGCGAAAGCCAGGGGAGCAAACG